rnacentral:rRNA from 1 species
ACGAACGCUGGCGGCGUGCUUAACACAUGCAAGUCGAACGGAAAGGCCCUGCUUUUGUGGGGUGCUCGAGUGGCGAACGGGUGAGUAACACGUGAGUAACCUGCCCUUGACUUUGGGAUAACUUCAUGAAACUGGGGCUAAUACCGGAUAGGAGCUCCUGCUGCAUGGUGGGGGUUGGAAAGUUUCGGCGGUUGGGGAUGGAUUCGCGGCUUAUCAGCUUGUUGGUGGGGUAGUGGCUUACCAAGGCUUUGACGGGUAGCCGGCCUGAGAGGGUGACCGGGCACAUUGGGACUGAGAUACGGCCCAGACUCCUACGGGAGGCAGCAGUGGGGAAUAUUGCACAAUGGGCGGAAGCCUGAUGCAGCAACGCCGCGUGCGGGAUGACGGCCUUCGGGUUGUAAACCGCUUUCGCCUGUGACGAAGCGUGAGUGACGGUAAUGGGUAAAGAAGCACCGGCUAACUACGUG